rnacentral:piRNA from 1 species
CCCAUCUGUAUACACUACGAUUCCUUCGG